rnacentral:rRNA from 1 species
AUCUUACGAGCUGCUACGGCAGCGAAGUGGGUGACGUCAAGCUUCCAAGAAAAGCCCUAUACCCGUUAAGGCAUGACUGCCUGUACCCGAAACCGACACAGGUGGGGUGGUAGAGAAUACCGAGGGGCGCGAGGUAACUCUCUCUAAGGAACUCGGCAAAAUGGCCCCGUAACUUCGGGAGAAGGGGUGCCACCGCAAGGUGGUCGCAGUGAAGAGGCCCAGGCGACUGUUUACCAAAAACACAGGUCUCCGCUAAGUCGCAAGACGAUGUAUGGGGGCUGACGCCUGCCCAGUGCCGGAAGGUUAAGGAAGCUGGUCAGCGCAAGCGAAGCUAGCGACUGAAGCCCCGGUGAACGGCGGCCGUAACUAUAACGGUCCUAAGGUAGCGAAAUUCCUUGUCGGGUAAGUUCCGACCCGCACGAAAGGCGUAACGAUCUGGGCGCUGUCUCGGAGAGAGGCUCGGCGAAAUAGAAUUGUCUGUGAAGAUGCGGACUACGUGCACCCGGACAGAAAGACCCUAUGAAGCUUUACUGUAGCUUGGUAUUGUGCCCGGGCUCUGAAUGCGCAGGAUAGGUGGGAGGCUUUGAUCCAUUGCUUGCGGGUGAUGGUGAGCCAACGGUGAGAUACCACUCUUUCAGAGCUAGGGUUCUAACGGUCACCCGUUAUCCGGGGACCGGACAGUAUCAGGUGGGCAGUUUGACUGGGGCGGUCGCCUCCUAAAAGGUAACGGAGGCGCGCAAAGGUUCCCUCAGGCUGGUUGGAAAUCAGCCGACGAGUGUAAAGGCAGAAGGGAGCUUGACUGUGAGACCAACAAGUCGAACAGGGACGAAAGUCGGCCUUAGUGAUCCGACGGUUCUGAGUGGAAGGGCCGUCGCUCAACGGAUAAAAGUUACUCUAAGGAUAACAGGCUGAUCUCCCCCAGGAGUUCACAUCGACGGGGAGGUUUGGCACCUCGAUGUCGGCUCAUCGCAACCUGGGGCUGAAGUCGGUCCCAAGGGUUGGGCUGUUCGCCCAUUAAAGCGGUACGCGAGCUGGGUUCAGAACGUCGUGAGACAGUUCCGUCCAUAUCCGGUGCAUGCGCAGGAACAUUGAGAGGAUUUUUCCCUAGUACGAGAGGACCGGGAGGAACGCACCUCUGGUGUACCAGUUAUCGUGCCAACGGUAAACGCUGGGUAGCCAUGUGCGGAGCGGAUAACCGCUGAAAGCAUCUAAGUGGGAAGCCCACCUCAAGAUGAGUGUUCCCAUGGCACAAGUCAGUAAGGUCACGGGAAGAACACCCGUUGAUAGGCUCUACGUGGAAGCGCAGUAAUGCGUGAAGCGGAGGAGUACUAAUAGACCGAGGGC